UUAUACCUGUGCAACCCAAGUCAAGCGGUUAGGUGAAAAAGGUGGUUAGGUAUAAAAUUUAUAAGGUGAAUAAUUAAUGAAUUUUGGUUAAUCCAACACAAAUAGAGUAGGGGUGUAAUCCUAUUAAUUCUGUGGAAGAGGUAAGGGGAUGCCAUUAAAUUGACUCCACGGAACCGGAAGAAUAAAGACAUGGAUUAGGUACCCAUUUAUUCCCGAUGAAAACUUUGCUAAAACUUAAUAAAUGGCUACUAGGGGACUACGAGCGUGUGCUUAAAACUCAAAGAACUUGGCGGCUUGUUAACUACCUAGGGGAAUAUGCGCCUUAAUCCGAUGGUACUCGUCUCAUCUUACUGGGCCUUGAAAAAGAGCAGUCGGUGUAUUGCCGUUGUCAGCUUGUUGUUAGAGCAGGGAGAAACAGGCUAAAUGGGGAUAAAUUGAAACAAAGUUUUCUGAAAACCAUGAAUUCAGGUCGAAAUACUGCCAAUGGCCCUAGGGAGCGGGUGUUACAACUAUAAUUUUUAAAAACGGAUCUUCAUUUAGUGAAAGAGCUUGGAGUGAAGGUGAACUUAGGAGUAAGGAGAAAUUAAUAUGUUUUCCUGAACAUGAAUCUAACU
rnacentral:rRNA from 1 species